rnacentral:rRNA from 1 species
UGGGGAAUAUUGGACAAUGGGCGGAAGCCUGAUCCAGCCAUGCCGCGUGUGUGAAGAAGGCCUUUUGGUUGUAAAGCACUUUAAGCGAGGAGGAGGCUACUUGGAUUAAUACUCUAGGAUAGUGGACGUUACUCGCAGAAUAAGCACCGGCUAACUCUGUGCCAGCAGCCGCGGUAAUACAGAGGGUGCGAGCGUUAAUCGGAUUUACUGGGCGUAAAGCGUGCGUAGGCGGCUUCUUAAGUCGGAUGUGAAAUCCCUGAGCUUAACUUGGGAAUUGCAUUCGAUACUGGGAAGCUAGAGUAUGGGAGAGGAUGGUAGAAUUCCAGGUGUAGCGGUGAAAUGCGUAGAGAUCUGGAGGAAUACCGAUGGCGAAGGCAGCCAUCUGGCCUAAUACUGACGCUGAGGUACGAAAGCAUGGGGAGCAAACAGG